rnacentral:rRNA from 1 species
UGGCGGCGUGCUUAACACAUGCAAGUCGAACGAUGAAACCGCCCUCGGGCGGACAUGAAGUGGCGAACGGGUGAGUAACACGUGACCGACCUGCCCCCGCCCAGGGACAGCCCCCCGAAAGGGGGAUUAAUACCUGGUACUCCGGAAGCGGCGCAUGCCGCGGCCGGGAAAGCUCUGGCGGCGGGGGAUGGGGUCGCGGCCCAUCAGGUAGACGGCGGGGUAGAGGCCCACCGUGCCGACGACGGGUAGCCGGGUUGAGAGACCGACCGGCCACAUUGGGACUGAGACACGGUCCAGACUCC